GUUGUCCGGAUUUACUGGGCGUAAAGCGCGCGCAGGCGGCACUUCAAGUAAGGUGUGAAAUCUCCCUGCUCAACGGGGAGGGUGCACUUUAGACUGAGGAGCUAGAGGACGGUAGAGGGGGGUGGAAUUGCCGGUGUAGUGGUGAAAUUCGUAGAUAUCGGGAGGAACACCGGUGGCGAAGGCGGCGACCUGGGUAGAUACUGACGCUGAGGUGCGAAAGCGUGGGGAGCAAACAGG
rnacentral:rRNA from 1 species